AGCAUCGCGGAGCUCGACCGCCCCUUCCGGUAGUCAUCGACUACAUCGACAAGAACCGGGAAGAGUUCGGGGUCGAGCCGAUCUGUGCGGUAUUGAAGGACGCCGCUGUCCCGAUCGCCCCG
rfam:Pseudonocardia sp. 73-21 SCNpilot_cont_1000_p_scaffold_1076, whole genome shotgun sequence.